AACCAUAAACAAAUCCUCAAGAUGAACUCACCUAAAAGAAACUUCAUAUAUAUUCUAUGCUACAUACUUACUAUCUCCAUAACGGUGGCAUUUUUUAACAGUUCUGAACCUUUGCAACCAGAUGGUAUUUUUGUCAGUUAUGCGACGCUCUCAAUUUAUAAUUGUAAUAACUUUUCCAUGGGAGUCCAUUGUAAAUCAGGCGACAAAGAUAUAGGUUUUCGCGUUGUUAACAAGGGUGGAUUAUAUGAAUACAGAGUUCGUAUUGGUCUUCAGAAGACUACACUCUUCUUCUGUGGAUUUAGCCAUGGAAAAAUAAAGAAAGGCAUAUUUGACCUCUACGAUGCGUCUAGAGAUUCCGAUAGAUGUAACAAGUGCACAUGGAAAGCUGUGGGAAAUGGUAUUUAUGGAUAUACUGAUAAACCACAUCAAGCUGUCCUGUUUUAUAAAUGGAUAAAGUGAUAUGCAAGUGAGUUUAUUUAAGAAAUGUGUAAUACUAUGAACUAAAAUCUUUAUAUAUAAAAGAGGGUUGUAUCCCUCCUCCUUGUGCCACAUGGGAUGCCACAUAGAUAACUCGUGAGCUCUCGCGACGACACGUGGCAACGCAGCGUUUCAUUAAACUUGAAAUCUGGGCUUAAUUCAUUCGUCGUGUAUUGGGCUAUAGGUUUGUUGUUCCCGGCCCGAUAGACGUUGCCAGCCUCGGUGACUUCUGAUCUUCUUCACGUCUUCUGGAACGGAAUGUGUUAUGGCUUUUUUCCGUGAUAAAUCUCAUUAAUUCAGAUGCCCACUACAAGUUCUUCAAUGUGUUAUUGCGUCGGCGAGGCUGUGGGAUUUCGGGUAUAAAUAUGUCAGUAUUUCUCUUCUGGAAAUCAUCCUCUCUUCAUCUCCCUUCUACUCAUCUCUCUUAUAUAGUGUUCUUCUCCGAUUUGAAGUCCCGCAAGUGUUCAUCCGUUGAAUAGCCAGAGAGAAGAUUAAAAGUGAAGAGAGUAAUAAGGAUUCUGCUCUGAUCGAUGAUAAGCCUCCUACUGCAGCCUCUGUGAACGUUUUUCUCAGACAGGCAUUGCAUGCUGAUGUUCGGUCUCUUCUGCUUGAUUGAUUGUACAACCGAGAUGAACAGGAAUCCAGAUCGUAGCUCUAUAGGUUCACAUGAUCCAUCAAGACCCAAAAUGUUCAUAUUCAUCUGUACAUCCAAUUGUUCCCAUAAAGGAAUAUAAUGAAAUCAUCUAAGCUGUUCGUCGGUCAGACUAUCUUGGAAGACCACUGAAUAUCGAGAGUAGUUUCCACUGGCUGUGCUCAUGGCUUUGGUUUCUUUUUCUUUGCUGGUCCCAGUGUUGGUGUGAUAGCCAUAUUGCUCAUUCACAUCACUGAUGUUAAAACUAUAGUUUUACUCGCUAAAAAGUUAAAUGUGGAAUGGUUUGUCGACCAGUGACAUGGAGACGAUGGAUCUGGGACUAUUCUAAGGAUCACCGCUAUUCUAUUUAACUAGAGCAUGUGUCAUUCAAGUUCAUGGAACCUUGGUAACAUUCGGAGUUGGUCAUGUGCUCAAACUCUGGUAUCCAAAAACAAAGUAGCGAUGGACAUUGCAGGUAGUGUGACGUGAGAGCACAGAUUCCAAUCUUAUAUUGCAAGGUUUGGCCCAAGUUGGAUACAAUAACAUCUGCUAACUGAAGCUCUUGACUAGCAUGGUCUGAAGGGAUUAAGGGUGAAUUUCCAUUUUCAUGUCCCUUAUGCCAUUGCCUAAUUCGUUUUUUCUUUAUAUUUUUUUUGUAUGGAAACAGUUGAAUUUAUCAAAAGGAAUCAUUCAGUGUAAAAAAAGAGCAUGCGUCAUUGGUAUCAACAAAUUUCAGGAUUUGAUUUUCGUAUUUUUUAUCAUAGUUGUAAGAAUAUUUGUAUCCGUUUGAGAUUUAAGAUUUCACAUUUUGGUUUCAACCUUAAAAAUCUCUGACCACAAACUCAUACCAAAACAUGGAGGACUUUUUUUACCAAAUGACACUCUUUUUUUCCUACAAAAAUAUGCUUUGUUUUCUAUACGUGCAGUGACUACAAUUUCAUUUUUGAGGUGUUUUACCUUUGUAUUGGUUUGUUGAUACUCCAUUGAUGGUAAACAGAAUGCUCCGGAACGGAAAAGUAAAUCUAUACUAAUACCAAAAUAUUUUGCGCACUAA